rfam:Acetobacter orleanensis JCM 7639 DNA, contig: Abol_013.
UGACGUUCUCAGGGCAGGGUGAAAAUCCCUACCGGCGGUAAGUAACGGUUUUCCGUUAUAAGCCCGCGAGCGCCUGCUUCGGCAGGGUCAGCAGAUCCGGUGUAAUUCCGGAGCCGACGGUUACAGUCCGGAUGAGAGAGAACGGUG